AUUGAACGCUGGCGGCAUGCCUUACACAUGCAAGUCGAACGGCAGCACGGGAGCAAUCCUGGUGGCGAGUGGCGAACGGGUGAGUAAUAUAUCGGAACGUGCCCGGUCGUGGGGAUAACGUAGCGAAAGCUACGCUAAUACCGCAUACGAUCUACGGAUGAAAGCGGGGGAUCGCAAGACCUCGCGCGAUUGGAGCGGCCGAUAUCAGAUUAGGUAGUUGGUGAGGUAAAGGCUCACCAAGCCGACGAUCUGUAGCUGGUCUGAGAGGACGACCAGCCACACUGGGACUGAGACACGGCCCAGACUCCUACGGGAGGCAGCAGUGGGGAAUUUUGGACAAUGGGCGCAAGCCUGAUCCAGCCAUGCCGCGUGUGUGAAGAAGG
rnacentral:rRNA from 1 species